rnacentral:rRNA from 1 species
GAUGAACGCUGGCGGCGUGCUUAACACAUGCAAGUCGAACGGAAAGGCCGAAGCUUGCUUCGUUACUCGAUUGCCGAACGGGUGAGUAACACGCGGGUGUUCUGCCCUGUACUUCCGGAUAAGCUUGGGAAAAUGGGUCUAAUAUCGGAUAUGAUGAUCUCUUGGAUGUGGUUGUGGAGAGCAUUUGCGGUGUGUGAUGAGCUCGCGGCCUAUCAGCUUGUUGAUGGGGAAUUGGCCUAGCAAGGCGUCGACGGGUAGCCGGCCUGAGAGAGUGUAGGGCCACACUGGAACCGAGAGGCGGGCCAGAGUCGGGCGGGAGGCAGCAUGGGCGAAUAUUUGACAAUGCGCGCAAGCCUGAGGCAGGAAGGCCGCGUGGGGGAUGACGGCUUUCGGGUGGUAAGAACCUAUCGCUAUCGACGAAGCCAUUUGGUGACGGUAGGUUAAGAAGAAGCACCGGCUAACUACGUG